rnacentral:rRNA from 1 species
UUUAAAGAGAGUUUGAUCCUGGCUCAGGACGAACGCUGGCGGCGUGCCUAAUACAUGCAAGUCGAACGAACGGAGGAAGAGCUUGCUCUUCCAAAGUUAGUGGCGGACGGGUGAGUAACACGUGGGCAACCUGCCUGUAAGUUGGGGAUAACUCCGGGAAACCGGGGCUAAUACCGAAUGAUAAAGUGUGGCGCAUGCCACGCUUUUGAAAGAUGGUUUCGGCUAUCGCUUACAGAUGGGCCCGCGGUGCAUUAGCUAGUUGGUAGGGUAAUGGCCUACCAAGGCAACGAUGCAUAGCCGACCUGAGAGGGUGAUCGGCCACACUGGG